CCGGCGGUGGCGGAAAUGGAAAACGCACGAUAAGAGCAAAGAUGUUUCAUGUUUGUGAAACUUACAGCAACUAUUGUUCACCAAGGUAUCGCACAUUGUAUGUUUACAGGUUCGAAUCCUGUCCGCCGGU
rnacentral:tRNA from 1 species